rnacentral:lncRNA from 12 species
AGGCGCCCCGUGCAGAAGCACCCCUGGGGCUGACCCCUCACACCGGGAGAGCACACGGGCCGAGAAGCGUCUGAGGGGCUCGGGGACCGAGGCCACUGGAGGAACGGAGCCUCUCUGCAUGCUCGUGAGCUGGUGGGCUGCCGGGCGGGAGCCGUCGAGCCUGGUCACCCCCUAGCCUGGCUGCUCGUGCUCACGCGGGCCCCGGCCUCCGCCCCAGCUGCUUCUUUGACGGAUCUGCACGCCUUUGAACGUGACGCCUUCCACCCAGGAGCGCGGGGAGCCUCUGCCAAGGUGAUGGCCGUGCCCGUGGGCUCCAACACGGGAAGAGCUCCGUCAGGUUAUCAAUACCCUUUACCAAGUUUAUGCUGUGGGGGCUCGAGAUGUACCCAACACCGUGCAAAUUAAAAUUCUGUUCUCCGUCUGAACCUCUAGGUGCAAACCAGGCCUUUUACUAAAAUUGCACUUAAGUCAAAUCCCAUCCCCACUCACAGUAAUACUGUUUUCAGUUUUCAUCUUGAAAAUUAUUUGCAGACUUGCUGGCUCAUGGUGAAUCUCCAAGUAUUUUGCAAUUCUGCUUUAUUAAGUUAUUUUUGGGGCAAGUUUCUGGCCACUGCCACGAAAACCGAGGGGUGAGUGUGGGGUCGGAGUGGCCGGUGUUUUGCAAGAGAGGCUCUGAGCCCCGGAUGUAGAUGGCUGUGUGGUUGUCUGUGGGUUAGCGGUGACCAUCCCUGGUCCUGUUCCGUCCGUGUCAGAAGAAGAGUUUGUCAUCCAUCUGUCUCUUCUACCUCCUUUCGAAUUUCAAGAGAGAGGUGGAGAAAUGUGAAUCAUGCAAGAGUUUUUAUUCCCAGGGCACGAAGUGCCUCCUCCUCCCAGAGCCAUGGAGCGUUCCAGCAGGUGGGCGAG